UCAGUUGUCUUAUAAUUGAAGACUGGAAUGAAUGGUUAAACGAAAUUAGAGCUGUUUCAUUUGUAUUUAUUAGAAAUUGGCUUUUAAAUGAAGAGAUUUAAAUUUGAUUAAGGGACAAGAAGACCCUAUUGAGCUUUAAAUAAUUUUGAGGGUUAAAGUUAUUAUAAAGAUCUAUGAUCUUUAGUAUUUUUUUUAGUUGGGGCGACUAAGGAACAGGAGAAGCUUCCUUUAUUUGUUUAAUUGAUAAAUUUUGAUCCUGUAUUACUGAUUAAGAGAGAUAGUUACCAUAGGGAUAACAGCAUAAUCUUCUUGGAGAGUUCUUAUUAAAAAGGGGGGUUGUGACCUCGAUGUUGGACUAAAAUAUCCUAAGGGUGUA
rnacentral:rRNA from 1 species